rnacentral:misc_RNA from 1 species
CAGAGAACUUGCCCUUUGGGUAGAUCUCCCACCCUUUGUUUUACCAUACCUUUGUUGCUUUGGCAAGCCUGUCCCUUGGGCUACCGGCCUCCAGCUGGUAUGUGCUUGCCAGAGGACCCUAAAUUCUUUGAUUUUGUGUUGUCCGAGUCCUAUAGAAAUAGUUA